CUGGCGGCAGGCCUAACACAUGCAAGUCGAGCGCACCUUCGGGUGAGCGGCGGACGGGUUAGUAACGCGUGGGAACGUACCCUUUUCUACGGAAUAGCCUUUGGAAACGAAGAGUAAUACCGUAUACGCCCUUUGGGGGAAAGAUUUAUCGGAGAAGGAUCGGCCCGCGAUAGAUUAGAUAGUUGGUGGGGUAACGGCCUACCAAGUCUACGAUCUAUAGCUGGUUUUAGAGGAUGAUCAGCAACACUGGGACUGAGACACGGCCCAGACUCCUACGGGAGGCAGCAGUGGGGAAUCUUAGACAAUGGGCGCAAGCCUGAUCUAGCCAUGCCGCGUGAGUGAUGAAGGCCUUAGGGUCGUAAAGCUCUUUCGCCUGUGAUGAUAAUGACAGUAGCAGGUAAAGAAACCCCGGCUAACUCCGUGCCAGCAGCCGCGGUAAUACGGAGGGGGUUAGCGUUGUUCGGAAUUACUGGGCGUAAAGCGCACGUAGGCGGAUUGGAAAGUUGGGGGUGAAAUCCCGGGGCUCAACCCCGGAACUGCCUCCAAAACUAUCAGUCUAGAGUUCGAGAGAGGUGAGUGGAAUUCCAAGUGUAGAGGUGAAAUUCGUAGAUAUUUGGAGGAACACCAGUGGCGAAGGCGGCUCACUGGCUCGAUACUGACGCUGAGGUGCGAAAGUGUGGGGAGCAAACAGGAUUAGAUACCCUGGUAGUCCACACCGUAAACGAUGAAUGCCAGUCGUCGGGCAGUAUACUGUUCGGUGACACACCUAACGGAUUAAGCAUUCCGCCUGGGGAGUAC
rnacentral:rRNA from 1 species